rnacentral:lncRNA from 1 species
GAUCGGUCAGUCGAGAGCUUGCAUUCGCAGCGUGAGGUUGUGUAUUCUCUUCGCUGAAGGAUUUUCGUAAGAGACCCUCGUCCUCCACGCCUCAUCUCCUCCGGGUCGGCGAGAGUGUGAUGCGCGGUCGCUGCCUUGCGAAAGAUCCUUAAGGGUUCGCCGUCGCCGCCGCCGCCGUUGCCGCCAAGGGAGCGAGAGGGCGAGGGCGUUGUGGAGUGGCUGCCGGCGGUGGGACACUCCCUCGCAGAAGCAGUGAAAUGGUGACGAGGUAGCAGAAGGAGAGGGUGGUAACUCCUGCCGGACCACACCACCACAACCACGCCGCCGUAAGGAGCGCCGCCCCCGCAGCCUCCCCCGCGAGUGCGUUGCCGCCGCCUUCGCCGCCGCAAUCACGUGCUCUCCGCCGCCGCCGCCGCCGCCGCCGCCGCGAUGACGACCGUGCCGAGAGGACCCGGGCUCUACGAGUUCCUCACGGAGGCCGAACUGCAACACUACUACAACAACUUUAAGAAUGACCUCAAGGUACGCUCCUAAGAAAUGA